GAUGAACGCUAGCGGCAGGCUUAAUACAUGCAAGUCGAGGGGUAGCAACAUUGUAGCAAUACAAUUGUUGACGACCGGCAAACGGGUGCGGAACACGUACACAACCUUCCUACAAGUGGGGAAUAGCCCAGCGAAAUUUGGAUUAAUACCCCGUAACAUAGCGAUGUGGCAUCACAUUGCUAUUAUAGCUUCGGCGCUUGUUGAUGGGUGUGCGGCUGAUUAGAUAGUUGGCGGGGUAACGGCCCACCAAGUCUACGAUCAGUAGCUGAUGUGAGAGCAUGAUCAGCCACACGGGCACUGAGACACGGGCCCGACUCCUACGGGAGGCAGCAGUAAGGAAUAUUGGACAAUGGACGCCAGUCUGAUCCAGCCAUGCCGCGUGAAGGAUUAAGGUCCUCUGGAUUGUAAACUUCUUUUAUAAGGGACGAAAAAAGGUCUUUCUAGAUCGUCUGACGGUACCUUAUGAAUAAGCACCGGCUAACUCCGUGCCAGCCGCCGCUGUAAUAC
rnacentral:rRNA from 1 species